UUUAAGAUUACAACACCAUCAUAAAGUCAGCAAUCUCAGCGCGCCAGCUUCCGAAGCUAACUUGUUUGCCGAAUUUUUUUUAAGCGGCCCGUCUCUUAGCUCAUUAAUUCUGCUUAUUUUCAUACCCUCAGCGGAGUAUUUUAAAUAUGGAACCAUGUCUAUAGCUGGAAGGGUGUGCAGAAGCCAAGGUGCAGCAGCGAUAUCUUUCUUGCCACUUAGCUGCGUGAUCAGCAUCAACGUCGCCAUCAGCACAACAUCAAGCAUCGACAUUAAUUUCGGAUGUUUAGGUUUCAUUUUGGAACACUGCGCAAAUUUGGUCAAAUCUGGCCGAAAACCGUGGUUUGAGGUUGUUGAUUGAUGAAUCGUGCACUAAAAAUGAUCAUGUUCUAAAACAUAAUGAAAAGCAAAUACUCUUACAUACAAGUAUCUACAAUUUCAACAAAUUACGAAACU